rnacentral:lncRNA from 1 species
GCCAGAGGCUUCUAGAGAUAAAGGUGGACUCCCGCAGAAAAUGUUCCAGAUCCUGGGAAGACAACAGCGCAAAUUAGAUAAGAGUGUAUCCUUGUUUAAUAGUUGGCAUUAGAUGCUGCAAAAUAUAACCUUGAGUUGGAACAGACACCCUUUCCAGAGCCUCCCUGAGCAAUCACUGUGCUGAGUACACCCCUCGCCCACCAGUAUUGCUCCGCACAGAGGCCUCCCCAACUCCAGGUCUCACCACAGAAGCUUGAGCAGUCCAGUUCCCUACCCACAGCUGACCUCCAACAGCAGGAAGAAGGAGCUUCAGCUUUGGACCUGGUCCCUGGCCCCACCUGACUCCAGGAGGCUGCCCAGAUCAGAACAGGGAGGAUGCUGGUUUCAGUCGGGAAGACCAAGCAAGAAAAAAAAGGCAGAAAAUCCCAGCAGAUAUGCAGUGGCAUGGAUCCAAGUGACAGAGAUGAGCACAGAAGUUACUGCUUUCCUUAUUCCUCUCCUGAUGCUGAGCACCCAUGACUCUUCACCCUCUCCCGAAGUCACUCCAGGGUCCACACACUCAUACAUAAUGGGCUACCUUCUCAAAAGAAGGGAACCCUGGGUUCAGAACACAAGACAUAAUACCUUUGCUGUUAUGAAAUCAUGAAAGAAUUCUUGGAUGUUCACAAACUAGAUUUGCCCAGCUCCCACAACAUCUUAUUUUCAUUAGCUUUGACUAAAGGGAAAAUUCCUCGUGACACUGUCAAGGGAAGCUUUAGAGCGACUGAAGUCAUAUGCUGAUUGUUAGAAGCUUCUUAAAAGCAUGAUUUUCGUUGCCAUCUAAAUGUAUAGAGGCUGAUAAACUGCAUAGGAACUGGGGAAAAAGGGGUGAGAAGAAGUAAUAAUAAAACGACGAGCUAUUGAAAAGGUGUGACCAUUAAAAAAUCCCCAACUGAUACAUUUGUCCAUAAAAUGAAGCCCCUUGAGACAUCACCAUGUUUCCUCUGUUCUUACUAAGCUAAGUGAGAGGUGAGUGGGCACUGAACCUUCUCCCUUCCUCACUGACACAGAGAUGGUGGGGGAAGCCAAGGGGAAGCACCUCUCUUCUGUCCACAUCUUGGAGUCUGGCUAACUCUUACCAAACAAGGGAGAAAAUAUGUCUUAGGUGGAACCAUAUAAAAC